rnacentral:lncRNA from 1 species
CCCACUGGAGGCUGGGAUUUGAGAUGAGAGGUCACCCUCGGAGUUGGCUCCAGCUGCUGCCUCUGCCUGGGACCCCUCCUUGGGAGUUGGGUGGCAGGGCCUUGCUGGGGGCACUUCCCUUCGCAUCUGGAUUUUGGCCUCGGGCCCAGGGCUAUGGGGGUUUCCAGAGUGGUGACAGCCUUGUCCUAGCAGGGACCAGCCCAAGCACUUCCUCCCAGAGCCCUCUGGGAGCGUCCCAGCCCCAAGGCUGUCAUUUUGUCGUAGGGAGUAAAUUGUGGAGUCAGCAGAGGCUGUCUUCCACACUUUCUGUGCCUUCCAGGUAUCCUGUCAUUCCUCAUUCUGAAAACCUAGGCUUGCAUCUCUCUUGCCGUCCUGCUCGGGACUGUGAGAAGCCCUUUCAUUGAGCCUCUGCUGUUCAUGCUGUUUGACACCUUGCGUUUUCCAGUUAACGUUAUAUUUUGGAGACCACUCUACAUCAAUACAUAGAGUGUGUCCUCAUUUUCACAGCUGCACGGUAUUCCAGCACAAGGAUGUAUGGUAAUUUACAGAUGCACUUCUUGGCAGAGGGACCUUCAGGUUGCUUCCAGCCCUUUCUCAAGACAGGCCGUGCCGCAGUGAGUCAUCUGUACAAAAGCCCUUUCACACAUGCACGAGCGCUGCUGCGGAAUACAUUCCCAGAAGGGACUUGGGAGGACUGGGGGGCAAAAGAUACAUGCAGUGGUGUCUUAUUAUUGUUAUUUUAGAGACAGGGUCCUGCUCUGUCACCCAGGCUGGAGUACAAUGUACAAUGGUGUCAUCAUAGCUGACUGCAGCCUCGACCUCCUGGGCUUAAGCCAUCCUCCCGCCUUGGCCUCCUGCGUGGCUGGGACUACAGGCACGCACCACCGUGCCCAGCUUGCAGUGGUCAUUUUGUCAGCUCUGUCAGCUUGUCCUUCUUGGAGACUGUGCCAGGUACCAGGCCCCCACACAGUCAACAGGGCUGUUUCUCCUCAGGCUCACCAGCCCCUGGUUUCCACCUAUUUUGAUUUUUGUCCAUCUGAAAGGCAAAAACUAAACAAAACAAAGGAAUUUGGGUGUAGUUAGAGUUUGCGUUUCUCUUACGAUGCGUGAGGCUGGUCACCUUUUCAUUUGCUUAAGAGCCACAUGUGUUUCUUUUUGGUGAAUGAACUGCAGAAUUUCUGCAGAGGUGGUGCCGGGCAGCUUUGGAGAGGGGGGCCUGGAGGGAGGCCAGACUAGAGGCAGAGGCCACUUCUGGGGACAGUUAGCGUAGAAGGGAGAGAAAAUUUGGUCCUGAAGAGUGGUGUGAGAGCUGGAGAUGGAGAUGAUGAAGUUGAAAGGCUGAGAUUAGGUGAUAGCCUCCCCUGAGCCCCUCUCCCCUCAAACCACCCCUUUGCUACAUGCUACCAGGUACUGAGGCUGCACCUGGGACUCCUCUUAAGUUGGUCCUUGUUGGGUGGUCAGGGUGAGGCACAGGGGGUGGGAGGCAAACCCUUCCAAGAUUCUCUGGGGCAGAAAGAAUCAGGUCCAAAUGCCUUAGCAAGACUUCACAAUCUGGCUCUGAAGCACCAUUCCGGGCCCAUCACUGCCUCCCUUCCCUUUCCCUCUUUUCUUUUACCCCUCUCUCGCCCUCUGUCCCUCCUCCCUCCCUCUCUUUGCCUUGUCAAGCGUCCACUAUUCAUAAUAGUCCACAAGGGGAAAAACCCGACAGUGGAUGCACUGAUAAAAUACCGUAUAGCCAUACAGUGGGAUCUUAGCCAU